CUAGGGGAUACAGCAGCAAUUCAUGUUUUGAAGUUCUUUACAAUGGUUCAAAACGUGAGGCGCUGCUAUACCCCCUCGAG
ncrna:Eptesicus fuscus (big brown bat) microRNA efu-mir-424 precursor